rfam:Anopheles dirus strain WRAIR2 unplaced genomic scaffold supercont1.73, whole genome shotgun sequence.
CAAUCGGCUCUUUUCAGAGCAACCGCAAAAUCUGUUAAAAUAAUUG